rnacentral:rRNA from 1 species
CCUACGGGAGGCAGCAGUAGGGAAUAUUGCACAAUGGGGGAAACCCUGAUGCAGCAAUGCCGCGUGGGUGAAGAAGCUCUCCGGAGCGUAAAGCCCUGUCGGCAGAGAAGAAAAUGCGAGUAAGUAACCAAGAAGCCCCGGAUAACUACGUGCCAGCAGCCGCGGGAAUACGUAGGGGGAAAGCGUGAGCCGGAUUUACUGGGUGUAAAGGGAGCGCAGGCGGGGUGGCAAGUCAGAUGUGAAAACCCGGGGCCCAACCCCGGGAGUGCAUUUGAAACUGCCAUGCUGGAGUGCCGGAGAGGUAAGUGGAAGUCCGAGUGUAGCGGUGAAAUGCGUAGAUAUUAGGAGGAACACCAGUGGCGGAGGCGGCUUACUGGACGGUAACUGACGCUGAGGCUCGAAAGCGUGGGGAGCAAACAGGAUUAGAUACCCCAGUAGUC